rnacentral:rRNA from 1 species
UACGGGGGGGGUAAGCGUUGUUCGGAAUUACUGGGCGUAAAGGGCUCGUAGGCGGCCAACUAAGUCAGACGUGAAAUCCCUCAGCUUAACUGGGGAACUGCGUCUGAUACUGGAUGGCUUGGAUUCGGGAGAGGAAUGCGGAAUUCCAGGUGUAGCGGUGAAAUGCGCAGAUAUCUGGAGGAACACCGGUGGCGAAGGCGGCAUCCUGGACCGGCAUUGACGCUGAGGAGCGAAAGCCAGGGGAGCAAACGGG